UGGGGGAUAUUGCACAAUGGGCGAAAGCCUGAUGCAGCGACGCCGCGUGGGUGAUGAAGGCUUUCGGGUUGUAAACCUCUUUCGCUAUCGAACAAGGCCCGCUUAGGGUGGGUUGAGGGUAGGUGGAGAAGAAGCGCCGGCUAACUACGUGCCAGCAGCCGCGGUAAUACGUAGGGCGCGAGCGUUGUCCGGAAUUAUUGGGCGUAAAGGGCUUGUAGGCGGCUUGUUGCGCCUGCUGUGAAAACGCGGGGCUUAACUUCGCGCGUGCAGUGGGUACGGGCAGGCUUGAGUGUGGUAGGGGUGACUGGAAUUCCAGGUGUAGCGGUGGAAUGCGCAGAUAUCUGGAGGAACACCGAUGGCGAAGGCAGGUCACUGGGCCAUUACUGACGCUGAGGAGCGAAAGCAUGGGUAGCGAACAGG
rnacentral:rRNA from 1 species